rnacentral:rRNA from 1 species
UACGGAGGAUGCAAGCGUUAUCCGGAAUGAUUGGGCGUAAAGCGUCCGCAGGUGGCAAUGUAAGUCUGCUGUCAAAGCGUCUGGCUCAACCAGAUAAAGGCAGUGGAAACUACAUAGCUAGAGUAAGGUAGGGGUAGAGGGAAUUCCUGGUGUAGCGGUGAAAUGCGCAGAUAUCAGGAGGAACACCGGUGGCGAAGGCGGUGGUCUGGGCCGGAACUGACGCUGAGGAGCGAAAGCGUGGGGAGCGAACAGG